rnacentral:misc_RNA from 1 species
UACAGAGGGUGCGAGCGUUAGGCGGAUUUACUGGGCGUAAAGCAUGCGUAGGCGGCUUUUUAAGUCGUAUGUUAAAUCCCCGAGCUUAACUUGUGAAUUGCAUUCGAUACUGGGAAGCUAGAGUAUGGGAGAGGAUGGUAGAAUUCCAGGUGUAGCGGUGAAAUGCGUAGAGAUCUGGAGGAAUACCGAUGGCGAAGGCAGCCAUCUGACCUAAGACUGACGCUGAGGUACGAAAGCAUGGGGAGCAAACAGG